rnacentral:rRNA from 1 species
GAUCCUGGCUCAGGAUGAACGCUAGCGACAGGCCUAACACAUGCAAGUCGAGGGGCAGCGGAGAGGUAGCAAUACCUUUGCCGGCGACCGGCGCACGGGUGAGUAACACGUAUGCAAUCCACCUGUAACAGGGGGGAUAACCCCGGAGAAAUCCGGACUAAUACCCCAUAAUAUGGGCGCUCCGCAUGGAGAGCCCAUUAAAGAGAGCAAUUUUGGUUACAGACGAGCAUGCGCUCCAUUACG